AAUUCUUCUCGUACGAGCAUUUCUACGUCAUCUACUGCAAGUUCUGGGAGCUGGACACGGACCACGACCUGCUCAUCGACGCGGACGACCUGGCGCGGCACAAUGACCACGGUCUCUCUCUCCGUCUAAAAGCUGAACCUUUGAGGCCUGAAUAUUCUGCUCUUUGCAAGUCGGUCUUGGAGCCGCGGUCACCUUUGCACUCUGUGGAUUUCAUGCUGGACUUGGCUGUGCUCGACGGGAAAGCGUGGUGGGCCCCUAGGAUGGGCCGUGCAGGGGCAUUGGGGCCCCGGGGCUCUCCCAGACCCAGGCGUCCUCUCAGCUUUUCGGUCCCCACCGCAUCCAGUCUCGGCUCUGGGGGGUGGUGACGUCGGGGCCGAGGCACGGUGCGGGCUGCCCAUCAAUCGCAUUCCUUUCCAGCCAUUUCUACCAAGAUGAUAGACAGGAUCUUCUCAGGAGCAGUCACACGAGGCAGAAAAGUGCAGAAGGAAGGGAAGAUCAGCUAUGCCGACUUUGUCUGGUUUUGAUCUCUGAGGAAGACAAAAAAACACCGACCAGCAUCGAGUACUGGUUCCGCUGCAUGGACCUGGACGGGGACGGCGCCCUGUCCAUGUUCGAGCUCGAGUACUUCUACGAGGAGCAGUGCCGAAGGCUGGACAGCAUGGCCAUCGAGGCCCUGCCCUUCCAGGACUGCCUCUGCCAGAUGCUGGACCUGGUCAAGCCGAGGACUGAAG
rnacentral:sRNA from 1 species